AAAAUGUAUGCAUGUAAGUUUCUUUGAAUAAAAGCAUCUGCUAAAUGGCAUAUA
rfam:Salmo salar isolate Sally breed double haploid chromosome ssa24, whole genome shotgun sequence.